AGCAACACUGCCUUCAGUAUUCAGACACCUGGACUUCUUACACAUUGUGUUACAGCCAGAAUUUAAAAUGGAUCAAAUUGAGAUUUGUUUGUUUUGUUGUCACUGGCCUACGUACAAUAACCCUUCAUGUCAAAGUGGAAUUAUGUUUCUACAAAAUGUUUACAAAUGAAAAGCUGAAAUGUCUUGAGUCAAUAAGUAUUCAGCCCCUGCUAGGUACGGGAACGGUCACCCUGCUAGGGACGGGGAGGGAACGGUCACCCUGCUAGGUACGGGGAGGGACCGGUCACCCUGCUAGGUACGGGGAGGGAACGGUCACCCUGCUAGGUACGGGGAGGGAACGGUCACCCUGCUAGGUACGGGGAGG
ensembl:lncRNA